GGCCAGGUAGCACAGCAGGUAGUGUGCCCGACUGUUAAUCGGGAGGUCGUAGGUUCGAGUCCUACCCUGGCCG
rnacentral:tRNA from 1 species